GAUGAUCGAUAGCUGGUCUGAGAGGAUGAUCAGCCACACUGGGACUGAGACACGGCCCAGACUCCUACGGGAGGCAGCAGUGGGGAAUAUUGGACAAUGGGCGCAAGCCUGAUCCAGCAAUGCCGCGUGUGUGAAGAAGGUUUUCGGAUUGUAAAGCACUUUCAGCGGGGACGAUGAUGACGGUACCCGCAGAAGAAGCCCCGGCUAACUUCGUGCCAGCAGCCGCGGUAAUACGAAGGGGGCAAGCGUUGCUCGGAAUGACUGGGCGUAAAGGGCGCGUAGGCGGUUUUAACAGUCAGAUGUGAAAUUCCUGGGCUUAACCUGGGGGCUGCAUUUGAUACGUUGAGACUAGAGUGUGAGAGAGGGUUGUGGAAUUCCCAGUGUAGAGGUGAAAUUCGUAGAUAUUGGGAAGAACACCGG
rnacentral:rRNA from 1 species